AUGCGGCGAAAGCCUGAUGCAGCCAUGCCGCGUGUGUGAAGAAGGCCUUCGGGUUGUAAAGCACUUUCAGCGAGGAGGAAAGGUUAGCGGUUAAUACCCGCUAGCUGUGACGUUACUCGCAGAAGAAGCACCGGCUAACUCCGUGCCAGCAGCCGCGGUAAUACGGAGGGUGCGAGCGUUAAUCGGAAUUACUGGGCGUAAAGCGCAUGCAGGCGGCCAAGUCAGUCAGAUGUGAAAGCCCCGGGCUUAACCUGGGAAUUGCAUUUGAUACUGCUUGGCUAGAGUCCUUGAGAGGGGGGUAGAAUUUCAGGUGUAGCGGUGAAAUGCGUAGAGAUCUGAAGGAAUACCAGUGGCGAAGGCGGCCCCCUGGCAAGAGACUGACGCUCAGAUGCGAAAGCGUGGGGAGCAAACAGGAUUAGAUACCCUGGUAGUCCACGCCGUAAACGAUGUCUAUUAGGAGUCUGUGGCCUUGAGCUGUGGGUUCCAAAGCUAACGCAUUAAAUAGACCGCCUGGGGAGUACG
rnacentral:rRNA from 1 species